rnacentral:tRNA from 1 species
GCGGGCGUGGCGGAAUUGGCAGACGCGCCAGAUUUAGGUUCUGGUAGGGAAACCUGUGGAGGUUCGAGUCCUCUCGCCCGCA